rnacentral:rRNA from 1 species
CGGCGUGCUUAACACAUGCAAGUCGAACGCUGAAGCCUGGCUUUUGUUGGGUGGAUGAGUGGCGAACGGGUGAGUAACACGUGAGUAACCUGCCCCCUUCUUUGGGAUAACGCCCGGAAACGGGUGCUAAUACUGGAUAUUCACUGGUCUUCGCAUGGGGGUUGGUGGAAAGGGUUUUCUGGUGGGGGAUGGGCUCGCGGCCUAUCAGCUUGUUGGUGGGGUGAUGGCCUACCAAGGCUUUGACGGGUAGCCGGCCUGAGAGGGUGACCGGUCACAUUGGGACUGAGAUACGGCCCAGACUCCUACGGGAGGCAGCAGUGGGGAAUAUUGCACAAUGGGCGCAAGCCUGAUGCAGCGACGCCGCGUGAGGGAUGGAGGCCUUCGGGUUGUGAACCUCUUUCGCUCAUGGUCAAGCCGCAACAAUGGUUGUGGUGAGGGUAGKGRGUAAAGAAGCGCCGGCUAACUACGUGCCAGCAGCCGCGGU